CCCCACCUUUCUCUCAUUCGAUCCUUAUCACAAUCCCGUGGGCUGGGGAUUCCGUGGUCUAUGAGAGAGGCUGGCCAGCGUAUCAGGAAACAGAGACUACAGAAAAAGCCACCGGCCCAGCCCCAUAGCCCAGGGCAGAAGUGCCAGGAUUCAAGUUCAGAUCUGCCUCCCUCCAAUGCCCCUGUUGUUUCCACCUCAUCAUGCUGACUCUGUGAAGGCUGACACUGCAGAAAUAAAAGUCACAAGGUGGCA
rnacentral:lncRNA from 10 species